UACGUAGGUGGCAAGCGUUGUCCGGAUUUAUUGGGUUUAAAGGGUGCGUAGGCGGCUUUGUAAGUCAGUGGUGAAAUAUGGCAGCUCAACUGUCAAGGUGCCAUUGAUACUGCGGAGCUUGAGUACAGAUGAGGUAGGCGGAAUUGACGGUGUAGCGGUGAAAUGCUUAGAUAUCGUCAAGAACACCUAUAGCGAAGGCAGCUUACUAGGCUGUAACUGACGCUGAGGCACGAAAGUGCGGGGAUCAAACAGG
rnacentral:rRNA from 1 species